GACGAACGCUGGCGGCGUGCCUAAUACAUGCAAGUCGAACGAAGCUGUUUUAACUGGUGCUUGCACCGACUUAAACAACUGAGUGGCGAACGGGUGAGUAACACGUGGGUAACCUGCCCCAAAGCGGGGGAUAACAUUUGGAAACAGAUGCUAAUACCGCAUAACCACAGAAACCACAUGGUUUCUGUGUCAAAGAUGGUUUCGGCUAUCACUUUGGGAUGGACCCGCGGCGUAUUAGCUAGUUGGUAAGGUAAUGGCUUACCAAGGCAAUGAUACGUAGCCGAACUGAGAGGUUGGUCUGCCACAUUGGGACUGAGACACGGCCCAAACUCCUACGGGAGGCAGCAGUAGGGAAUCUUCCACAAUGGACGAAAGUCUGAUGGAGCAACGCCGCGUGAGUGAAGAAGGUUUUCGGAUCGUAAAACUCUGUUGUCAGGGAAGAACGUGUGCGAGAGUAACUGUUCGUGCAGUGACGGUAUCUGGCCAGAAAGCCACGGCUAACUACGUGCCAGCCGCCGCAGUAA
rnacentral:rRNA from 1 species